GUGGGGAAUAUUGGACAAUGGGGGCAACCCUGAUCCAGCCAUGCCGCGUGAGUGAAGAAGGCCUUAGGGUUGUAAAGCUCUUUCGCCGGUGAAGAUAAUGACGGUAACCGGAGAAGAAGCCCCGGCUAACUUCGUGCCAGCAGCCGCGGUAAUACGAAGGGGGCUAGCGUUGUUCGGAAUUACUGGGCGUAAAGCGCACGUAGGCGGAUUGUUAAGUCGGGGGUGAAAUCCCAGGGCUCAACCCUGGAACUGCCUCCGAUACUGGCAUUCUUGAGUCCGAGAGAGGUGAGUGGAAUUCCGAGUGUAGAGGUGAAAUUCGUAGAUAUUCGGAAGAACACCAGUGGCGAAGGCGGCUCACUGGCUCGGUACUGACGCUGAGGUGCGAAAGCGUGGGGAGCAAACAGGAUUAGAUACCCUAGUAGUCC
rnacentral:rRNA from 1 species